ACCGUAGCGCAUGGCUACAGGGUACAGCGAGUUUAGUAUCGCACAGGUGGCAGCUGUUAAAAGAAAACUGCUGUUGGGAGUCCGUAGGUUUGCGGUAGAGGUCAGUGGAGAUGACCCCGUCGGUUAAUGUCACCUGAACGUCGAGAAAGAUAACUGUUACAGUGUAAUAUGAAUGAGUAAAUUUGAUGGAAGGGUGAACUUGGUUGAUGUCGUUAAUAAAUUCAUUUAGGUCGUCCUCUGAAUGCGGCCGUAUCAUGAAAAUGGCAUCAAGGAAGCGGUUGUAGAAGGUUGGCUUUUUCUCACGUUUGGACAAAAAAGUUUCUUCUAGGAAUCCCAUAAAAAUGUUGGCGUAACUCGGCGCCAUCUUGAUGCCCAUGGUCGUUCCGUUAACUUGUAAGUAGUGCUUGCCAUCGAAUUCAAAGUCAUUGUUUUUGAAAAUUAGAUUGAGAAAAGUGGAAAGAACAAUGGGGUCAAAUGCAUGGCCUGAGUAUUUUUGGAAUGCCUCCUCUGCUGCGAGGAUACGGUCGUCGUGCGGGAUGUUGGUGUAGAGAGAGGACACGUCUAGCGUAACUAAUAUGCUCGAAGGGGAAGGUUCACACUCCGUUUGUAAUUCGAGAAAAUGGGUUGUGUUCUUAAAGGUCAGAUAUGCAGAUUUUGAAGUGCCGCAGAACUGAGCGAUACUCGCGCUGUGUGUUCAUUACCGAACACUGAAUAUGUGUGCAAAAUAUCUUGCUCCAACUGUUCGUAGUUUUUUAGAAAACAGUUUUUUUAGUUCCCACACCCGGCCGUCAGACCGUCGGUAAACCCUGCGCACGGGCGCACCGACGUCACUGCUCUCGGUUUAUCUGUCUUUGGCUUGGGAUGGACUCUUGGCUUGGCCGCUUGGCUUCUUUCGUUUCGUCCUUUGUGCAUCGUACAUAAGCGAACAGCUGGUAUGUUGUUGCUAAGCCGGAAACAAAGCAUGUGAAUAUUUUUUUGGCACGGCGUCGUUUGGAAAGUGCACUUCCUUGUUCUGACCUUGCCUUUUAUGGGCUGGAGCGAUAUGAUACGUAAUAUGCCACGGCGAAGUUGUCGAAGAUACGACGGUUCUACGGUGUUAGAACAAUUAAUCGGAGCAUUCAAGUGUUACCUAUUAUAAGCUGCCAGAAGUGCGAAGCUCUUGGCUGACAGUGGUGCCUGCUAAUGUCCACUGCAAGGAUUUCGUCCACGAACGUUAUCAUAGGUUACGCGCGUCUCCAGAGGCACUUUGGAAUCUCGGCACGAAAUCGUCUGAUGAAAAUCUCAGGUGCCCCACGCACAACGUUUUGAACGUGUCACGGAGGAUCAAGGCAAAAAACGAGAGCAAAAAAGGUAAGUCGAGGUUCAGAUAUAAAAAAUAGCAAGCUUAAUGAAUCGAUUGUGCAGCUGUCCGACUGCGCUUACUCUGAUAUAACCACGAUUAGCAACACAAUAGUAUUGAUAAUCUAACUUCUGAAUUACCAGGUGCACGCUGAAGGCGGAAAUGAAGCAUGAUCUGGCUUGUAUCUGGUGCAUGAAGAAAUGGCUGACACGUUAGUUGCAGUCUACCUCCACCAAUAGACAUCUUGACACCACUUUUAAAUCUGCCCUCAAAGUUACAACCUGCGCUUUCAGGGUGGAAAACAAAGGUCGCCAUCCAGAUUAGCUGCUAUCUCCCAGUUCAAGCACUUUUGCUGUCUGGACACUGGUUCCUGUGGACGGGGUGUUACAAGCUUCACUGUCUGAUAUAGAAGUGAUGAGCAUCCAUAAGGACACAUG